AUGGCUCAGGAUGAACGCUAGCUACAGGCUAACACAUGCAAGUCGAGGGGCAGCAUAACGAAGCUUGCUUUGUUGAUGGCGACCGGCGCACGGGUGAGUAACGCGUAUCCAACCUUCCCCUUAGUAGAGGAUAGCCCGGCGAAAGUCGGAUUAAUACUCUAUGUUUUCCGUUGAUGGCAUCUGAAAUGGAUCAAAGGUUUACCGCUAAGGGAUGGGGAUGCGUCUGAUUAGGGUAGUCGGCGGGGUAACGGCCCACCGAGCCGACGAUCAGUAGGGGUUCUGAGAGGAAGGUCCCCCACAUUGGAACUGAGACACGGUCCAAACUCCUACGGGAGGCAGCAGUGAGGAAUAUUGGUCAAUGGGCGAGAGCCUGAACCAGCCAAGUAGCGUGCCAGGAUGACGGCCCUAUGGGUUGUAAACUGCUUUUGCAUGGGAAUAAAGUGCGGGACGCGUCCCGUUUUGUAUGUACCAUGAGAAUAAGGACCGGCUAAUUCCGUGCCAGCCGCCGC
rnacentral:rRNA from 1 species